rnacentral:rRNA from 2 species
CNNUNGNGCGCUACCUGGUUGAUCCUGCCAGUAGUCAUAUGCUUGUCUCAAAGAUUAAGCCAUGCAUGUCUAAGUAUAAGCAACUUAUACUGUGAAACUGCGGAUGGCUCAUUAAAUCAGUUAUCGUUUAUUUGAUGGUGUUCCCCUUACUACAUGGAUAACCGUAGUAAUUCUAGAGCUAAUACAUGCGUUUUAAGGCUCGACUCAGCGAUGGGAAGGGCUGUAUUUAUUAGAUAAAAAACCAACCGGUCGUGCUCGCAAGGGUGCGGCUGUUUGCAUUCUAGGUGAUUCAUAAUAACUUGUUCGGAGCUCAUGGCCUUUGCGCCGGAGCCAGAUCAUUCAAAUUUCUGCCCUAUCAGCUUUCGAUGGUAGUGUAGUGGACUACCAUGGCUGUUACGGGUGACGGAGAAUUAGGGUUCGAUUCCGGAGAGGGAGCCUGAGAAACGGCUACCACAUCUAAGGAAGGCAGCAGGCGCGCAAAUUACCCAAUCCUGACACAGGGAGGUAGUGACAAUAAAUAACAAUACCGGGCGUUUCGACGUUUGGUAAUUGGAAUGAGGACAAUUUAAAUCCCUUAUCGAGGAUCCAUUGGAGGGCAAGUCUGGUGCCAGCAGCCGCGGUAAUACCAGCUCCAAUAGCGUAUAUUAAAGUUGUUGCAGUUAAAAAGCUCGUAGUUGGAUGUGUGGCUUUUAGUGGAGCUGCCCCCCAGCGUUGCCCUUAGCGGUCGUUGGUGGGGUGGUGAGCGUGUCGGGAGCAAUCUCGGCGCGUUCGUAUCCCGGUCAUCUUUUCGGGUGUUCACAUCUGCCCUUCACUGGUGUCGGGUGUGCGCUCUCGAUCGGUUACUUUGAAAAAAUUAGAGUGCUCAAAGCAGGCUUAUCGCUGUGUAUACAUUAGCAUGGAAUAACAAAAUAGGACUCCGUUGUCUAUUUUGUUGGGUGUUUCAGAUGGGGAGUAAUGAUUGAUAGGGACAGUUGGGGGUGCUCGUAUUCUUUGGCCAGAGGUGAAAUUCUAUGAUUCGGUGAAGACGGACUCAGGCGACAGCAUUCACCAAGGAUGUCUUCUUUAAUCAAGAACGAAAGUUGGGGGAUCGAAGAUGAUCAGAUACCGUCGUAGUCUCAACCAUAAACGAUGCCGACUCGAGAUGGGCGAUCGUUUCAACACGACUUUGCCUGCAUCGUAUGAGAAAUCAUAAGUCUUUGGGUUCCGGGGGGAGUAUGGUCGCAAGGCUGAAACUUAAAGGAAUUGACGGAAGGGCACCACCAGGAGUGGAGCCUGCGGCUUAAUUUGACUCAACACGGGGAAACUUACCAGGUCCAGACAUUAUGAGGAUUGACAGAUGGAAGAUCUUUCUUGAUUUAAUGGGUGGUGGUGCAUGGCCGUUCUUAGUUGGUGGAGUGAUCUGUCUGGUUAAUUCCGUUAACGAACGAGACCUCAGCCUGCUAAAUAGCUGCGGUCAGUCGGUCCUUUUUUGUACCGCUGGCUUGCGUUCACAGCUUCUUAGAGGGACUUUUGGUGUUUAGCCAACGGAGGUUUGAGGCAAUAACAGGUCUGUGAUGCCCUUUAGAUGUUCUGGGCCGCACGCGCGCUACACUGUUGCUUUCAGCGAGUUUACAACCUUGGCCGAUAGGUCCGGGUAAUCUGGGGAAACGGCAACGUGAUGGGGCUAGAUUCUUGCAAUUAUGAAUCUUCAACGAGGAAUUCCUAGUAAACGCAUGUCAUCAGCGUGCAUUGAUUACGUCCCUGCCCUUUGUACACACCGCCCGUCGCUCCUACCGAUUGAAUGGUCCGGUGAGCUCUUUGGACUGGCCGCCGAUGGGGAUUUCUCCGCCGGUGGCCAGAAAGCUGCGCAAACCUUAUCAUUUAGAGGAAGGAGAAGUCGUAACAAGGUUUCCGUAGGUGAACCUGCAGAAGGAUCA